rnacentral:misc_RNA from 1 species
GUGAAUCAUCAAAUUUUUGAACGCAAAUUGCACUCUCUGGUAUUCCGGAGAGUAUGCCUGUUUGAGUGUCAUUUAAAUAAAAAUCGCUUUGGUUGCUGCUUUUAGUGGUGACUCAGCGGGUUUGGGUCGUCUAACCUUAGGUUAAGUGAACUACAAUUUUGCAUGAUUUUUUUCGAACGUGUUUACAUGAUUUUACGUACGUUUGCGAUAUGGAAUACUAGUUAUGGUCAUCUACAUGAUGCGCGCCUAUAAUUUUUCAGCAAAAUGAC